GUAUUUUUCAAAUACUACAGAUAAGGAAUUAACACGGAGGCGCCCUGAGGGCUGUGUUCCUUCUGUGUGAGCCGGAACUGGGUUCAGCCAGACCUUGGCCAGCUGCAGAGCUGAGGCGUGGCUGGUGUGAGGCCUCUCUCGCCACAGCCCCGGCCAGUGAGCACUUGGCACCAGCAGGUGGUGGGCAGGGCUCGGGCAGCCGACGGAGGCAGUGCCCGGACCCCCUUUUCAUGUUUGCAGCCAGUAGCGUGGCUGUCACUGUUAUCGGUGCUGGGGCUGGGAGAUUGUACCCGGGGCCGUGCCCCUGCUGGGCGUGCAGCCCAACACAGAGCUGAACCCCGCCCUCCCAUUCUUCAUCCUGAGACCCGGUCUCUCCAACCUGCCCGGGCGGCACUUGAACUAGUGACCUUCCUGCUUCAGCCUCCCAAGCAGCUGGGUUACAGGGUCCUCGUACCGCAUAAAGGCACGAUGACAAGUUCUGAGGACGAAACCUCAGCACACCUCCAUGGGAUCACUCCACGCGCAGGCCCUGUGGGGUAAAUACAAGGCUACUGGCCCCUGUUCCUUGAACGGAGGCACGAGGUGCAUGAACCCAGUCAUCAGCCAGUUCUUCCCAACCCUCCUCCUCUGGUCCUUCUCAGCCCUGCUCCCCACCAUAGUCUACUACUCGACGCUGCUGGAGUCGCACUGGACCAAGUGAG
rnacentral:lncRNA from 1 species